GAAGCAAACCGUACAUCGAUUCAAGUACUUUGGACCUCAUUCCCUGACGACCUUUAACCUGGAAUGACACUUCCUGUGACAAAUAACCACCAGUAAACAAUUCAUUUAUAAAGAUGGACAUUAAAACUUUUAUUUUAUUUAAUAACAUUUUCCCGGCCACAACAAUAAAAUUUAACAAAUAAUCACUAAAAAAAAAAAAAAAAAAGUGUGACCUUCCAUUAGCUGUACAUUACAUACACUAUAGUAAAACUGACCAAGCUUAAAACCCACUACAACAUUCAUGUAGUGCUUCCAGCAGCAUUUCACCAAAGACAAAGACAUUAUACAUAUGUACAUCGUACGUGGCUGUGGUACAGAGUACUAACAUCUAUCAACGUUGUUGCACGGUUCAAGAUUCUGUUUUCUUACUUCCUUCUUCUGAAAGUUGUGUAGUAGAACUCUAGAGACUGUCUUCUAAAAGUUGUGUAGUCGAACUCUAGAGACUGUCUUCUGAAAGUUGUGUAGUAGAACUCGAGAGUCUUCUAAAAGUUGUGUAGUAGAACUCUAGAGACUGUCUUCUAAAAGUUGUGUAGUAGAACUCUCGAGAGUCUUCUAAAAGUUGUGUAGUAGAACUCUAGAGACUGUCUUCUAAAAGUUGUGUAGUCGAACUCUAGAGACUGUCUUCUAAAAGUUGUGUAGUAGAACUAGAGACUGUCUUCUAAAAGUUGUGUAGUAGAGCUCUAGAGACAGUCUUCUAAAAGUUGUGUAGUAGAACUAGAGACUGUCUUCUAAAAGUUGUGUAGUAGAACUCUAGAGACUGUCUUCUAAAAAUUGUGUAGUAGAACUCUAGAGACUGUCUUCUAAAAGUUGUGUAGUAGAACUAGAGACUGUCUUCUAAAAGUUGUGUAGUAGAACUAGAGACUGUCUUCUAAAAGUUGUGUAGUAGAACUCUAGAGACUGUCUUCUAAAAGUUGUGUAGUAGAACUAGAGACUGUCUUCUAAAAGUUGUGUAGUAGAGCUCUAGAGAGUCUUCUAAAAGUUGUGUAGUAGAACUAGAGACUGUCUUCUAAAAGUUGUGUAGUAGAACUCUAGAGACUGUCUUCUAAAAGUUGUGUAGUCGAACUAGAGACUGUCUUCUAAAAGUUGUGUAGUAGAGCUCUCGAGAGUCUUCUAAAAGUUGUGUAGUAGAACUCUAGAGACUGUCUUCUAAAAGUUGUGUAGUAGAACUCUAGAGACUGUCUUCUAAAAGUUGUGUAGUAGAACUCUAGAGACUGUCUUCUAAAAGUUGUGUAGUAGAACUCUAGAGACUGUCUUCUAAAAGUUGUGUAGUAGAACUCUAGAGACUGUCUUCUAAAAGUUGUGUAGUAGAACUCUAGAGACUGUCUUCUAAAAGUUGUGUAGUAGAACUCUAGAGACUGUCUUCUAAAAGUUGUGUAGUAGAGCUCCCGAGACAGUCAAGAGUUAAAAUUCUUACAAGUAGCAAAAAAAAGUAUUUAAAAAUUAUUUUUUUUAAAUUCUAAACAUUUACAAUAUAGUCAAAUGCUUGAUUCUGCCACAGCUAUGUUACCUUACCGUGGAGUAGCACAUUGGGCUGACUGACACACCAACUAUAGACUGCAGAUUGUGAUAGGACAGUUGACACUGCACUGAAAAGAAGCUACAUCCAACCGUGUGGAGCACACAGAGGUUUGGAGUUGUGCUACGACGUUCAGACAGUGGUGUAAUAAAAUAAACACUGUACUCCAUCUCCCUACUUCCUUCUCAGCUGAAGACAAGCAUUCUCCAGACAGAUAGAUAGAUAUGGCCCUUGAAUGACCAAAAGUGGUUUGAGUGCCUUAUUUUUUUACUCAGAAAAAUAAGAGUCAAAAUCCACUGGCUUCAUUUCCUCAUAGCCACAAACGUAGAAAGAAAUGCACUUUGGUAUGUAACCAAAUGCCCUGGGUUAUUCACAUCACAAUAAGAAGAGAUAUCUAUCACAACAGUCUGAGGUAAAGAUUCAAAUGUAUUUUUGUCCUUCUCUCUGGGAGUAAUAAAAUGAAGCUAACAGCUAUAACCCCUUGAAUUGUUUUGAUGUUAAGACAAGACAGAGGCUGUCAGUUCCUCAACCCUUUCAGAGCAUAAGGUGAUUGCUUCUUACUAAGCGUUCCCUGUUGGCAAAGGGUGUUUCCAGGUGAGAGUUAGUCAUCCCAAAAGAUCUGACGCUCUGUCUCGAAACUGCACGGCUGUUUCCCCGAAAUGGCACCCUAUUCCCUAUAUAGUGCACUACUUUUGACCAGAGCCCUAUCAAAAGUAGUGCACUAUAUAGGGAAUAGGGUGCCAUUGUGGAUGUAGCCCAUGUAAUACCUGUCAUUGUGCGGCCGCUUGGCUUUCUCCUCGCUACCACAUCAGAGGUUAAGCCAGGAAGACUGUCUUUGGGCUUGAAGAAAACAUCCAUGAAAAUGACUGUAAACAUUUCAAACAUCUGCGAAAUGGAUGUAUGUUCAGGGGAGAUGUGCUGUAGGGAGGUGUAGGGGAAUGAAGUCAUUAUGUUACUGGUCUUGGGUUACUAAAUGAAUGGCAUUAAUAACCAAAGGCACAUUGUAUUCGACCUAAGGACACGAUUCCUCCCGACUAUCAAUCCACAAAAUAACUACAAUAAAAAAAGUCAAAAGAACGUUGUGACCCCGCCCCCUGUCCCGCCCCUCCCCACUGAUGUUCUCCAAUCAGCAGGCGGCAAUGGGUUCCAAAGGGGGCGGGGCUACUGAGCAGUGUGCAGCUGGCAGGCACUGAACCAAUCAUCAGCGGGGCAGGCCGGGGCUCUACUCCCUGACCUGAUGAGGUCACCAGGUCGUCCAUCCAAUCCCCAGCCAGCCACACCUGUUCUGAACUCCAAUCAAACAGAGUCUUCUGCUCCGUGUCCUGGAGCCUCCAAUUAUCCACACAGUGACAGUCUGAUAGGAUCCCAUAGUAUAGUUCUUGUGCAUUAGGUCAUAAGUGGCUCCGUGGUUACCGACCGACCAACCAGACAACAACACAACAUUCUGUUCUAUUCAGCCCUAAGUUCAGUUUCAUAUCUUUUAGAUUGCCUCUUUUAUUUGACAAUAUUGUUUUAUGUGAAAUAAAUAAGUACAACUUUGACAAAAGCUUUAAAGAAGCCUUAGUGUGAUUUAUGGUUAACUAAUAAAAACCUUUGUCAAACACUAGAAAAUGUAGAAAAUCUGAAGGUUCAACACAUUUGGGGAAAAUGUUCAUUACUAGGUUUAGGAGUCUGUUUUACAGGUUGCCUUCCACAUAAAGCAAAGGGGAUAUGGGAACACUUUUUUUGGCUGUGCAAGGGAACAAGCGUUUUAGGAAUUUACACUCUGGCCAGAGACACGUAUCGGGUUCACUACUGAAAAUAUUAUUAAAGAAACGAACAUAUGAAAAAUAAAACUCUACAGUUGCAACAGUCAACAUGGUAUAAACUAAGCAAUUCAAAAAGCUACAUGAGUCAACCUUAAGUCCUGAUUAAUCAGAGUGCUUUAUAAUCACGUGUUAUAACACUAACUGCCUUUCACUACAACCCGGAGUAUUACUGAGACCACCCGGGCUCUGAAGAACUAUUCAGAAUUACUGAGACCAGCCGGGCUCUGAAGAGCUAUUCAGUAUUACUGAGACAACCCCAGGUUCUGAAGAACUAUUCAGUAUUACUGAGACAACCCCAGGCUCUGAGGAACACCUUCUAUUCAGUAUUACUGAGACAACCCCAGGCUCUGAGGAACACCUUCUAGUCAGUAUUACUGAGACAACCCCAGGCUCUGAGGAACACCUUCUAGUCAGUAUUACUGAGACAACCCCAGGCUCUGAGGAACACCUUCUAGUCAGUAUUACUGAGACAACCCCAGGCUCUGAGGAACACCUUCUAGUCAGUAUUACUGAGACAACCCCAGGCUCUGAAGAACACCUUCUAUUCAAGUAUAUGCAGUCAUGCCCAUGUAGUAAGCACCUCAUCGACCUACCAGCCCCUACCUACCCAGCCUGACCCUAGAUCAGUCUUUCAACACAGACACAGUCCUCUCUGAUGAGGACAUUAUAAUAUCCACAGUCCUUCAUCACAGACAUAGUCCUCUCUGAUGAGGACAUUAUAAUAUCCACAGUCCUUCAACACAGACACAGUCCUCUCUGAUGAGGACAUUAUAAUAUCCAGUCCUUCAACACAGACAUAGUCCUCUCUGAUGAGGACAUUAUAAUAUCCACAGUCCUUCAACACAGACACAGUCCUCUCUGAUGAGGACAUUAUAAUAUCCAGUCCAUCACAGACACAGUCCUCUCUGAUGAGGACAUUAUAAUAUCCACAGUCCUUCAUCACAGACACAGUCCUCUCUGAUGAGGACAUUAUAAUAUCCAGUCCUUCAUCACAGACACAGUCCUCUCUGAUGAGGACAUUAUAAUAUCCACAGUCCUUCAUCACAGACACAGUCCUCUCUGAUGAGGACAUUAUAAUAUCCACAGUCCUUCAUCACAGACACAGUCCUCUCUGAUGAGGACAUUAUAAUAUCCACAGUCCUUCGUCACAGACAUAGUCCUCUCUGAUGAGGACAUUAUAAUAUCCACAGUCCUUCAACACAGACACAGUCCUCUCUGAUGAGGACAUUAUAAUAUCCAGUCCUUCAACACAGACAUAGUCCUCUCUGAUGAGGACAUUAUAAUAUCCACAGUCCUUCAACACAGACACAGUCCUCUCUGAUGAGGACAUUAUAAUAUCCAGUCCUUCAACACAGACACAGUCCUCUCUGAUGAGGACAUUAUAAUAUCCAGUCCUUCAACACAGACACAGUCCUCUCUGAUGAGGACAUUAUAAUAUCCAGUCCUUCAACACAGACACAGUCCUCUCUGAUGAGGACAUUAUAAUAUCCAGUCCUUCAUCACAGACACAGUCCUCUCUGAUGAGGACAUCAUCACAAAGCCACUUCACCUCAGCUCUACUCUGCCUCAGCACAUUUAGUUUCUAAUCAUCCAAUAAUCUGAUAGAACAAAACCAAGUAGACAUUUUUGCUCUAAAAUCCUCUUUACAUCCAUUUUCAAAUAAAAAGCACCAUUGUUUUGCUGUGAGGAUAUACAUUUCACAGCAGCUGUACCAAGGAAUAGCACCUAAUAACUUAUUAUGUUGACAUCUCAUAUUUUGAUAGAUGCCAUUUCUCUCCCCCCUCUCCUCUUCCCCUCUUCUCUCCCCUCCCCUCCUCUCUCCCCUCUUCUCUCCCCUCCCCUUCUCUCCCC
ensembl:lncRNA